rnacentral:lncRNA from 1 species
GAAAGAAAGGAGGCACUGGGAAUGCUGAGGGGCUCUGGCAAAUGGUGAUUAUCUAUCCAGAGCCCUUUCUGAAGCAUUGCUCUGCAGACCCGCCAGCCAGGGUUUUCAUUAAGUAGCAUUAAGUCAUAACCUUAAGUAAUAAAGCAAGCAUGCAUAGAAGGGCAAAGCCAGUCACUUCUCAGACCCCGAACCCCUCAGUGAAGGUUGGUGCAUGCAACGGGCUGGCCCUUUGGUGGAGACUGAAGAAAGAGUUUAUUGCAGGUGGGAAUAUUAUUUAAACAGGGAUUGAUGGAGGACAAAAGGGGCUUCUGGUUCCAUGAGGCAGGAGAUAAAUGAGAUGGGAAUCCUGAGUCAUGCAUUUUAUUCACUUCUCUGGAACGAGUUUUGGGGGCUCAUUUAGCAGAGAAAAUAGGACAAGAAAAAUGGACUCAGCUGGCAUUGGACAGAGUCAAAGCCAAAUGACUUCUGGGUUCUAAAUUUUUUUGUUUUGUCUUUAUUCAUACGUGUUGGUUGUUUGGAUUGUUUUUCAUUGACCAUUGUAAGCUAAAUCCAUAUCAGGAGGAUCUGAAAAGCUCAUAAUAAAAAUAUAAAGUAGAGACCAAGGGUUGUAAAAGUGGCAUUUUACUCAAGAUAUAGUAAGGCUGUUUUACAAUAGUGGGUAGUAAUCAAUAAUUUAAAUGAAAACCCUCAAGGGUUAGAUGAUGAUAGAGCUGAUGUUCUUCUUAUUGACCAAGAUGCACCAACCAGUCUUGAAGAGGAUCUCGUUUUGUAAAGGAGCCAUGCAGAAGAAGAAUUCCCAGAGGGAGCCUAAUGUCUGUGAAAUGUCAUAUAUUGCUUACACAGAAACCAGUUACUCAAAGAGCUAUGCUGUUCUUAUGCCCUGUGAUGGAUCUACUGGGGAUAGAGAUAAGAGCCUGUCUGCCUGCCUCAGCCUGUGCACCUGAUCGUUCUUUUCCUGAAGCAACUUGUCAUGCCUUCACAGUGCACACCUGACCAGUUCCAAACCAAAAAGGGAUGUGCCUGGACGUGUGUGGAUAGAUGGCUGAGGGAGACAUUAUUGUUGUUGUUGAGCCUCCAUCAUCUCUCACCUGGACUGGUGCAGUCUUCUCCAAGACCCUAGGCUUCAGAAGCAGACGAGGGAACGAGCAGAAGAACAGAAGAACAGCAGAAUGGCAUGGCAGAGAGAAGAAAGGGACCAUCUGAACGCCAAGAGAAAUUCAGCUGGGGGAGGUCAGAGAGGAGAUAGACUGCAGGACAGCCAAGCUCCAGGGGAAGAUCAUCUUCCCACUCCAUCCCCUUUCCAGCUCCCCAUCCAUCCCGCUG